CUCACAAGAAGAAACAAGAGCCUCAAAUUUUGCUUCAGCUCCAGGAAAGAAAGAAAGAAAGAAAGAAAGACACAAAUGUGAAACACUCAAAAUUCUCAAUCUCUCUCUUUCUCUUUCUCUCAAUCGAUUCAAACUCUAAACCAUUGAACAUUGAAAAUCAAUGGCUUUUCUUCUAUCCAACUUCAAACCCUCUCUGCUACCUCAAUCCAAAUCGAUAACCAAAGAGAAACCCAUUCGCCAAACGUUAUCAUCAGCAAAACCCAUUUCCCAAAACCCUUCAUCUUCCACCUCGUUUUCUCCAUUGGAAACGCUCCAUAGUGUUUCUGCUCAGGUUGCUCAGGUGAACGCGCCACCAGGUGCUCAAGACAAGCAGCACCACCAGCAGCGUAAGGAUGAGUUCUAUGUCAAUCUUGGUCUUGCUGUCAGGACCCUCCGUGAGGACAUGCCUCUGAUUUUCGUCAAAGACCUCAAUUAUGACAUUUACAGGGAUGAUGUAACAUUCAAGGAUCCUUUGAAUACGUUUAGUGGUAUUGAGAAGUAUAAAUUGAUCUUCUGGGCAUUGAGGUUUCAUGGUAAAAUCUUGUUUCGUGAGAUUGCGCUGGAUGUGUACAGGGUAUGGCAGCCUUCUGAGAAUGAGAUAUUGAUCAGGUGGAACCUGAGGGGUGUGCCGCGGGUUCCGUGGGAGGCGAAGGGGGAAUUUCAGGGUACGUCGCGGUAUAAAUUGGAUAGGAAGGGGAAAAUCUAUGAGCACAAAGUUGAUAAUUUAGCAUUCAAUUUUCCACGGAGUAUCAAACCGGUGUCAGUUUUGGAUUUUGUUACUGCCUGCCCUGCAAGUCCAAAUCUAACAUUUUUAUGGGGUGCCGCCGCGGAUUCCAAUUCAUCUUCAUGGGUAGAGUUUUAUCAGGCAGUCAAGGACACAUUGGAUCAAGAAGGAGAGUUGCUACCGCAAGAUGGACUGGCUACUUGUUCAUAACAAUCUCUUAGUAAAUUGUCUCAUAGGUGAUGUAUACUAUAGAUUAUAACAGGUUAGAUGUAAUGGAUUUGGUCAAUCAUAUAAAAUGGGUUUUGCUCAAUGGUCAUCAAGAGUGUAUAUAGAUAGGGAGGGAUUCCGAAGCGUUCAAUUGCUCAUGCUGAUGUUGGUGGAAAUAAAGCUUCAUAUCCUUGUCGAGUUUAUACAGAGGAGGUUUGUCUAAGAUGUUUAUGGUUGAGGAUGGUGGAUUUUGCAUCUUGGGGGCAUGGCUGGCUGGCUUGCAGGGAAGAAGGAGAUGAGGGUGAAAUAAAAAGAGGAGGAAUGACUAAAAUAUCCUUGGUGCAAAGUCAAAUAUGCCCCUGGUGCACCGGUGGACCAAAAUAUAAAUGGUCCACCCUAGUGGGCACCGUUUAUUGUGAUAACAUGAGUACUACAGCUUGACUCAAAAUCCUAUUCUAAACACUCAGCACCAAAGCACAUGGAACUGAAUAUCUUCUUUGUUUGCGAGAAGGUCACUUGAACAAGAGCUUCAUUGUUCAACAUAUUCCCUCCCUGGAUCAAAAGGCAUACAUUUUUGCAAAGGCUCUUUAUACCUUGUGAUUUACUUCUCUCGGAGACAAAUUCAAUGUAGUUGACAAAUAUUCAUAUGUCAAGCCACCUUGAGUUUGCAGGGGCAUGUUAGAGCGUAUUGUAGUGAUAAA